rnacentral:rRNA from 1 species
CAGCCGUAAACUAUGCUCGCUAGGUGUCAGGCAUGGCGCGACCGAGUCUGGUGCCGCAGGGAAGCCGUGAAGCGAGCCACCUGGGAAGUACGGCCGCAAGGCUGAAACUUAAAGGAAUUGGCGGGGGAGCACAACAACGGGUGGAGCCUGCGGUUUAAUUGGACUCAACGCCGGACAACUCACCGGGAACGACAGCAAUAUGUAGGCCAGGCUGAAGACCUUGCCUGAAUCGCUGAGAGGAGGUGCAUGGCGUAGACGUCU